UACAGGGGGUGCAAACGUUGCUCGGAAUUAUUGGGCGUAAAGCGCGCGUAGGCGGCCGCUUAAGUCGGAUGUGAAAGCCCCUGGCUCAACUGGGGAAGUGCACCCGAAACUGAGUGGCUUGAGUACUAAAGAGGGUCGCGGAAUUCCCGGUGUAGAGGUGAAAUUCGUAGAUAUCGGGAGGAACACCGGUGGCGAAGGCGGCGACCUGGGUAGAUACUGACGCUGAGGCGCGAAAGCUAGGGGAGCGAACAGGA
rnacentral:rRNA from 1 species